CGACGUAUGAAACUUGCCCUACACAGGAGGAUAGCCUUGGGAAACUGAGAGUAACCCUCCAUAGCAUUAUUAAGUGGCAUCACUUUGAUAAUUAAAUCUCCGGAGGUGUAGGAUAGUCGUGCGUCCGAUUAGCUAGUUGGUGAGGUAAUGGCUCACCAAGGCGACGAUCGGUAGCUGGUCUGAGAGGAUGAUCAGCCACACGGGCACUGAGACACGGGCCCG
rnacentral:rRNA from 1 species